AAAAGGACAGGGAGUGGUGGGAUGAGAGAGGAGAAGAUGAAAGCAGUUGCUACUAAAAACACUGAGCCCAGGAAAGCAGAAGAGCCUGGAAAUGUGACUGAUGAUGGAAAGAAGGAGAGAAGAGAGCAGAAAUGGAGUGGCUGAGCUCAGGAGAAAGACCAAGAGGAAAGAGCUUGAGGAUGACUCCAAGAAGAAGAAGAGCUCUUAUGAAGAAGAAUAGAAAUAAACAGACUUGAAGAUGUGAGGCAGACUUCAAGUCUUCUUAAAGAAACCGAGUCGCCCAUUUCUGUAAUGUUCCCCGUGUAAAAAUGGCUGACCUGUCGAAGGAGUGGAACUGCAUGGGCAGCAUGGGAUGCGUCUUCAGAGCGGGGUCCGGGUGGUAGGGCGUCGGCCCGGACUCCUGACCCAACUCUGUGCCAUCAAUGGGAGCCGCCACCAAGCUCUUCAGGAUCUCCUGCGUUUCAGGGAGAAAAACAAAUCUGAAAUGGAUGAAGGUGGUGCUAGGCUCGAGUUCGGAGUGGAUCUGGGAUCAUGGGGAGAAUCCAGAAGGCUCUCUUGCGACCUCCGAACGUCAGAC